rnacentral:tRNA from 1 species
AGCGAAAUAGUUUAAGUGUAAAACGAUAGGUUGUGGUUCUAUAAAUAGAGGGUUGCUUUUCGUUA